rnacentral:misc_RNA from 1 species
CAAUAUAUUUUAUUAAUCAUCAAAAUUGUAAAAUAGUUCUGUAAAUUUUGGAUUGUUAGCUAGAGUCUUUGGGGAAAAGAAAAUUCGCUACCAAUCCUCUGUGAGCCUCGCUUUCAAAAGUCCACUAACCACAGGGACGGACAACACGCAUGCGCACUUGCAAAGCUUCACGUUGUCAAGAAUGGAGAACUACAGGCUACUUGAACGUCUUGGUAAAGGCGGACAGGGAUCCGUUUAUUUGGCAGAAAAUAAAGUUGACAACACGAAGUAUGUUAUCAAGAAGAUUGAAUGCUUUGAUGAAAGUGAAGCAAACAAAGCUUUCCAAGAGGCCUUGGUUCUUAAGACAUUAUGUCACCCAAAUAUCUGUGGCUAUAAAGAGUUCUUUGUGAACUGGGACAAGCAAGAGUCCUCAAUGUUUGUGUGUAUUGUGAUGGACUACUAUAGCAAGGGGGACCUACGUGGUAUUAUUAAAGACUACCAAGACAACAAGAAGCCUAUACCUGAAAAGCAAAUCAAAAAGUACUUUUGGGAGAUAGUGGAAGCUCUCAGAUUUGUUCAUGGCAAAGGUGUCGUUCAUCGAGAUAUAAAACCAAGCAACAUUUUUAUAAAAGAUGAUGAAACAGUUUGCCUUGGUGAUUUUGGUGUUUCAACACUCAUGAGUGACCGUCGAACAUGCUCACGCAAUGCUGAAGGUACGACUGUGUACAUGGCCCCAGAAGUAAUGACACAGGCAUUUGACGAGCGAAGUGAUGUGUGGUCACUUGGAUGUUUACUCUUUGAAAUGCUGACUACAUCUUUGUCAUCUCAGAAUGAGGUAGCUCAAAAGCUGACCGAGGCAAAGAAAGAUGUGCAAUCCCUAGAGGAGAUAUAUGAGGAGAUUUGUACUAUUUAUUCAGGAAAGUGGAUAAAAACUAUUCGACACAUGCUGAAAAUUCCACGUGAGACACGGCCAAAUAUAGCCUCACUGAUGAAGAUGGGUUUUGUUUUGGAUUGUGCAAUGGUCGCAGACAGCCCUUUAUUGGACAAGCAGCGACGCAGACGGCAAACUGUCAACAGAAUCCGUCCAUUACCAGAUACUGACAGUGCGGACAGCAUUGUCUGCUACAUCGCAGACACUAUCGAUCAUGAGGAGUGUGUGCUGGCGGGCUUGGAGGUACUGAGUGACAUGCUUCAGGCAAAUGUAGCAGCCCAAGAAAAAGGAGGCCCUCCACAGCCACGCAUAUUCUUGGAUCAAAGGAGCAAAAACCUGAUUUCCUUGGCCAUGUGGGACAACCAAGCAAACUGUGAAGUGCAGAUUGCUGGCUUCGCUGUAUUGACAGCCCUUGUCAAUGAUGCUGACUCCAGUGAUGUGCUUUUCACUCCAGAGCCAAUCUCUAUAAUCAAUAAAGUGAUGAAGUUACACCAUGCCAACCCAGAGGUCCAGCGAGCUGCCGCCUCUCUUAUGUUGGCACUUUCCACCCACAAUGAGGCAAGCAAAACCAUUGGUCAGCUGGGUGGAAUCAAAGACCUGGUGACUGCCAUGAAAAACUACCUGCAUGAUACAUCUGUUAUCACUACUUGCUGUAAUGCCUUGUGGAGUCUCACCCUUAAUGAGAAAAAUGCAGAGAUGGCGGCCGAGCAGAAUGCCAUGCAGCAGGUGUGUCUGGCUCUCAAAACACACCUUCAGUCUCCAGAGGUGGUGGAAGCAGUGACAGCAGCAAUGGUGUCAUUGAGUCUUGAUGAUCGGUGUUUCAGUUCAGUGAAUGAAUUGGAUGCUGUUGGAAGCUUGCUGGAAGCAAUGGAUCUGCACCUCAAGAAUACCAAAAUUAUCAAGAAUGCCUGCAUGACACUUGCAGCUUUGGUAGAGCCCAAUGAGGAGUGUGCUUACAGAAUGCUUACAUCUGAUGACCUGCAAGACAAAAGACUGACAGGCAUUCCUGUUCUUAUUAAGGCCUAUCAGCUGCACCGUGACAACCCUGACAUAGUGGAGGCAAUCAUCACUGUCAUCAUGGAACUCUGUGAAUAUGACGAUAUCAUCCUGGACCUAAACAGCUACAAUGUUGCUGUUCACCUAAAAGAAGUUCGAGCAAAGUAUCUUAAAAACAAGAGGAUGCUGUGGCUUUGAUGCAGCAUACUGAUGUUGAGCUUGCCCUUCUAGAAACGCACAGGCACUAUAAGCAAAACAGGGACAUUGUGACCCCCUGCGAAGCUGCCCUGGAAAAGCUAGGUAUCAGCAAGACAUUGACAUCAAGGCAAAACUCUGUGCAAACAAAGUAGAAUCAUAUCCCAACAUCCCUUCUGCACCUCAUUGUACACCUGCUGCAGCCUAUGUAUGACUUCAUAUCUUGUGUUUUUGUGGAUUGACAAAUGAAAAGAGCCAACACAGAGUGACAAUCAGUAUUAUUAAUAUGACAUUUUCUUGCAAUAAAAUAAAGUAUAUUUAAUAACCGUAUCUUCCUUUUCAGCCUAGGCUCCAAAGUUACAACAGUAUAUGAUGCUACAGAUUUUUAAGUUUGUGGUAUAACAGGGGUAACCUAUAGGUUUACUGAGAAAGCAGGAAAAAUCAUAUUCCAGUUUAUGAUUAUUUCCAUGUUAAGUUGGCAUACAAUUGCAUAAUCCCAAUACUUGUUAAACUGUUGUGAAACAUUUGCCAGAAACAACGAUUUUUACCUGCAUCUAUGAAUUUGAAAAAAAAAAUUUGUGCAUUGCAUUUGGUGGCUAUGUCUGAUGAACUCGUGAUCUGAAUAAACACCCAAAGACAAAUGUUGGUUUGUGAAGUGCAGAUUGAUCUUGUGAGCAUAAAAUCAUGAGAAUAAAUAUUUAUUUUGCUGCUGUAGUCCCUGCAAUUGUGCCAUGGUGCAUGAACUAACUAGAUGUGAUUAACCCCUAUUGUGUUAAUAAAUGUUAAAAAAUGCAAUCCAACUUUGCAACAUUUCUUCCUGAGAAAGUAAUCUGCAAAUUGCAUCUUCAACAUUUACUAUGGUCUUUGACAUUCUAAUCAAGAGUAGCAGAUGAGGCUUGUUGAAAAAUCCAUUUGUAAUUGUAAGUUAUUAUUGUUGAUAGUAUAGCUAUGCACUUCAGAAGCACAGCUAUCUGCCCUUUGAGUCAAAUACAUAAACAUCUGUGAUAUUUAUAAUGUAUAAACUGUUGUGUGUACAUGUGAUGCAUUUAAUAAAGAUUAACAAUAAACAAG